GACAGAGGGUGCAAACGUUGUUCGGAAUUACUGGGCGUAAAGCGCGUGUAGGCUGCCCUGCAAGUCGGAUGUGAAAGCCCUGGGCUCAACCUAGGAAGUGCAUUCGAAACUGCGGGGCUGGAGUCCUGGAGAGGAAGGCGGAAUUCCGGGUGGAGCGGUGAAAUGCGUAGAGAUCCGGAGGAACACCGACGGCGCAGGCAGCGUCCUGGCCGCUUGCUGACACUGAGGCACGAAAGCUGGGGGAGCAAACAGG
rnacentral:rRNA from 1 species